AUUGAACGCUGGCGGCAGGCCUAACACAUGCAAGUCGAACGAGUGGCGGAAGGGUGAGUAAUGUCUGGGAAACUGCCUGAUGGAGGGGGAUAAAUACUGGAAACGGUAGCUAAUAACGCAUACCAUCGGAUGAGCCCAGAGGGGAUUAGCUAGUAGGUGGGGGUAAGGCUCACCUAGGCGACGAUACAUAGCUGGUCUGAGAGGAUGACCAGCCACCUGGGAACUGAGCCACGGUCCAGACUCCUACGGGAGGCAGCAGUGGGGAAUAUUGCACAAUGGGCUCAAGCCUGAUGCAGCCAUGCCGCGUGUAUGAAGAAGGCCUUCGGGUUGUAAAGUACUUUCAGCGGGGAGGCGUUACCCGCAGAAGAAGCACCGGCUAACUCCGUGCCAGCAGCCGCGGUAAUAC
rnacentral:rRNA from 1 species